AUUGAACGCUGGCGGCAAGCCUAACACAUGCAAGUCGAACGAUUGGCGGACGGGUGAGUAAUGUCUGGGACACUGCCUGAUGGAGGGGGAUAACUACUGGAAACGGUAGCUAAAACCGACUACCAUCGGAUGGACCCAGAUGGGAUUGGCGAGUGGGGGGGGUAAAGGCUCACCUCUGCGACGAUCCCUAGCUGGUCUGAGAGGAUGACCAGCCAAACUGGAACUGUGAAACGGUCCAGAAUCCGACGGGAGGCAGCAGUGGGGAAUAUUGCACAAUGGGCGCAAGCCUGAUGCAGCAAUGCCGCGUGUAUGAAGAAGGCUUUCGGGUUGUAAAGUACUUUCAGCGGGGAGGCGUUACCCGCAGAAGAAGCAACGGCUAACUCCGUGCCAGCAGCCGCGGUAAUAC
rnacentral:rRNA from 1 species